UACGGGGGGGGGCAAGCGUUGUUCGGAAUUACUGGGCGUAAAGGGCUUGUAGGCGGCCAACUAAGUCCGACGUGAAAUCCCCAGGCUUAACCUGGGAACUGCGUCGGAUACUGGAUGGCUUGAAUUCGGGAGAGGGAUGCAGAAUUCCAGGUGUAGCGGUGAAAUGCGUAGAUAUCGUGGAGAACACCCGUGGCGAAGGCGGGCUUCUGGCUAAUAACUGACGCUGAGGUGCGAAAGCUAGGGGAGCGAACGGG
rnacentral:rRNA from 1 species